rnacentral:misc_RNA from 1 species
GGAAAGAAAUUAAUCGCUUGAGUAUGUUUUUGCAAAUGCAUGCACAUGCAUGCCUCAACAUUUGAUUGCAGAAACAUACUCAAGCGAUUAAUUUCUUUCCNNNNNNNNNNGAAGAAAGUUUCCCUCCCUUAAAGAACAAAAAGAAUGACAAAAAAGAUAUAGAGGACCUAAGAAACUAAUCAAAUAUUAUUGUUUUAAAGAGUUGACCCUGAAUGAGCCAUAUACAAAG